rnacentral:tRNA from 1 species
GAGGGCAUAGCUCAGUGGUAGAUCAUGUGCUUAGCAUGCACAAGGUCCUGGGUUCAAUCCCCAGUACCUCCA